UACGGAGGAUCCAAGCGUUGUCCGGAUUUAUUGGGUUUAAAGGGUGCGUAGGCGGGUUAUUAAGUCAGUGGUGAAAGCCGGCAGCUCAACUGUCGAACUGCCAUUGAAACUGAUAGCCUAGAAUCUAGUAGAGGUAGGCGGAAUGUAUCAUGUAGCGGUGAAAAUGCUUAGAUAUGAUACAGAACACCAAUUGCGAAAAGCAGCUUACUAUGCUAGUAUUGACGCUGAGGCACGAAAGCGUGGGGGAUCAAAACAGGA
rnacentral:rRNA from 1 species